CCUACCAGGUUUUACAUUAAAGUUAAAAAUUGCUAAGAGUUACCAUUAGGACAUGUAAUCUAGACUACUGAACAUGGAUUGGCAUGCAAGGUGUGUUAAAAAAAAAAACAGUAAAAGAUGCUUUUAGUUAAAGAUUAAAAGAAGGCAUGUAAAUGUACAUUUUGCCUAGAAAUAAAGGAUUGUCUUAAAGCAGAAGGUUUAAGCAAAUUGUAAAAAUUUAUGAAAAUUGAUCUUGCAAAGCAAACUGUAUGUGAACAUAUUAACUAAAUUCAAAAGGUUAUUAGAUGGUUUUUUUCUGUAAACUAAACACUCAAAUAAAAGCACAACAAGGUUUUCUCAAGAUGCCAAUCCACCCUUUAGCAAAACUUGACAAGGGUUAUAACAGGUAUGUGAAAAUCUCACUCCAUGGUCAAACUGGCUAAGAUUAAGUAGGAUUGUCUAUAAGGUUUCAUUAAAAAUUAGGGUUAACAUUAAUAGCAAACUAAUGAAAGGGUGAAAUUGAAUAUUCUCUCUCGAACAGGAUUUUCAUUUAAUAGAAAAGGAUGAUGAAUGAUUUUGCUUUUUCAAAUUUUUGACUCAUCAUUUUGGCAAAAUGAAUAACUUACGGUAAUCUAAAAUUCUAUGGUAUAAUAUCAAGUGUUUUACAUUUUGAACAUAUUUAACAGGAUUCCCUAAAUCAAACUUUAGUCUCAAGGUUGUCUUUCCUGACUCCUGGCUUUUAGGUGCUGUCAAGAACCCCUGGACCAUCUGGAAGAGAGGUUUUGGGGUACAUGAGCAGAGCAUGCAAGACAGUUGGGCACAUGAAGACAGGGAAGCUAGAAGCGAAUGUUGUACGGGAAUGUCUGCAGCUGCAAAAAACUGUCUGAGAACAGACACAGAAACUCUUCCUCAAAGCAGCACAGAGCAACACACACUAAAAGUCUGCCUACGUGAUGAAGGAACUGGGUUAUGGCUGAUAGAAACUCUGCUCUAUGCAGAUAGCACACCUGGUCCCAACUAAAUCUUCGGGCCCUAGGAAGGCAAAACUGCUUUUGAAAAACAAAAUGUUCUGGUGGAUUUGGAGCCACAGUGAUACAGUGAUACUGGCACAGAGCUGAGGACACGCGUCCAGAACUGCUGCUUGAAAAUGUGAUAGUCAUUUUACUAAAAAUAAGGACAUUCUUUGCAAUUUCUAGAGGUAUGGAUGGAGGGAAAACUGCAGUUGUCCUUUGCUUCUCAAGUGCCCUUUCAUUUCCUGCUGUGUGCUGAUAUUUCAAAGCCUCCACAUGAAUUAAAGUUCCAAUGAGAUUUGCCAUAGCGGUUUCUUGGGAAUGGCCAUAAAUAUAUUUUUUUUUUGCUUUGUUUUUUGUUCUCAGCAGAAAGUGUUGUUUGUGGUUAUCCCUUUUUUAAAUUAUAUCUCUUUUCAAGAUCUGAAAAAUGAGCUUUUGUGUGUUUCAGGAAGUAAACAACUUUUUUUUCCUCUGCCUUGUACAGGGCUGAGAGGUUUUGCUUUUGGACAUGGAGCUGGAGUUUUCAAUUACUGAAUCUAGUGGAAGGUGACAGAGAACUCACUAAUGUUUUCCCCCUUUAAAUAAACGUUUUCUGCAUUUUUCCUGUGAGCGGUCA
rnacentral:lncRNA from 13 species